rnacentral:rRNA from 1 species
UGAGGAAUUUUCCGCAAUGGGCGCAAGCCUGACGGAGCGACGCCGCGUGAGGGAUGAAGGCUUUCGGGUUGUAAACCUCUUUUGUGGGGGAAAAAGGUUUCAAUGCUCAUACCAUUGAGACUUGAUGGUACUCCAUGAAUAAGCCCCGGCUAACUACGUGCCAGCAGCCGCGGUAAUACGUAGGGGGCGAGCGUUGUCCGGAGUUACUGGGCGUAAAGGGCGUGCAGGCGGUUGGAUAAGUCUGGCGUGAAAUCCCAUGGCUCAACCAUGGAAUUGCGCUGGAAACUGUCUGACUGGAGUUCGGUAGGGGUGACUGGAAUCCCCGGUGUAACGGUGAAAUGUAUAGAUAUCGGGGGGAACACCUGUGGCGAAGGCGGGUCACUGGGCCGCAACUGACGCU